AGGGUGGAAAAUCUGGAUUCUACCCCAAGUGUAAGUCUCAAACUGACUGGAGAGCAGGGGAAAGAGAAGGGUCAAGAACUCAGGGACUCAUUUUAUGUUCCCCUUCCUGCUGUGGCCCUCAUUACAGUGGAACUGAACUAGAGGAUACUCAAGGAAUCAGAGGCACACCUGGCCCCGAGAAUGAGACACUUAACAGUUUUUUUCCCAGACUACAGAGGAGGUGUGGCUGCAGGGGAAAGCAAGCAGGCAUGCUCCCUCCUGACGCUAGUUCUAAGGGGACAUGUAAAGGAUUUGGGCCAAGUUUGUAUAGGAAUGUCCUGGGAGGCCUCCUGCAAGCCAGGGAAGGCUGAAAGAACUAACAGCUUCUCUGACAUGGAGGGCUGGUCAGGCUCUGCAGUGUCACUGCUUGUGUUUGUAUCAUUCUUUCACCACUGAGUUACUGUGUGACUGUGGACAAAUUUCUUAACUUCUCUGAGCCUUAGAUUUCUCAACUCUAACAUGAAGAUUUUCCUAUAUUUUAAAAAGUUAUGAUGAGUCAAUGAGAGAAUUAACGUAAAGCGCCUGGCAUAAAGAAAGCCCUCAAGAAAUGAUAGUAUUAGUGAACAUCUUGUUGCCGUCCUAGGCUCGAAUAGACUGUCCCUAAACACUCUGUUCCCACCGCUGUGAACAGUGGCAGCAUAAUUCUUUUGCAGAAUACUUCCAUUAUUUGCUUAUGUCCCUAAUGGGACCCAAAUGCCAAACUUGUAAGUCCAUCCUGUUCUACUAAAAGGCAGGGGCACAGAUAGAAAGCUGCUGAGAGACUACACUCUGAGGUCAGCCUUGACCCUGAGGCUCAUCUGGCUCUCCCUGUUCCUCUACAGCCAGGUAAAGGUUAGAGGCAAGUCUCGGAGAUGGAAACCCAAGGUCAUGCAGUUGUGCCAAUGCCCGUUGUUAGACAACAUGCUUCUAUUCCUGACAAACCAGUCUCAAGCAGCUCUGACUGAUGGGGCGGAUUUCAAUGCUCUCCAAUGACUUCCAAGUGUUAAGAAAAAGCUGCUGCUACCCUACAUGCCCAAGCUAUACGAACUACUUUUUUCCAGGCAAACAGGAUUCCUGCAGACAAUGCUCGGAUGAUGAAAUCUGAGAGGCUGGAUGACAGAGAAACCCACAUGCAUACACACACACUUUAUAAAGCUUAGGAACAAAAGCACUUUAUAAUCUCCUUCUGAUGCCAAGUUUACAGUGCUUCCAGAGUCAACAAAGGUGACUCAGGAGAGUGCACCCAGCUCCUUUCAGCACUUAUUUAGCUCAGCCACCUGUGUGAGCUCAAAGACAAGGGUGCCGACUUCACCUGAGUAGACCCUGAGUCACGUGAUUUCUUGCUGGAGAUGAUUCAGCAAAGGAGCACUAACCUCUGAGACAAGGCUUCAGCUUCCUGAGCUCUGCUGACUCGCCUGGGACUUCCCUAAGCCCUUCUGGACCUAGAUGAGGGCAAAACUCAGUGGAACCUCAGAAGCCCUAAAAAAAUGAUAGACUUUCUUUUGUCUCAUCAUUAUCAGCAUUUUGGGAUGAUUUAGUCAGCCUAAGAAACCUGAUGGCAUGUUGACACCAGAAAACAGGUAGUAUAUAUUCCCAAACCAAGUUAAAAAAAAUUAAGAAAUAACAGCUGGAAUGCCUUUUAUUUUUUCUUUACACAAAUGUGUGUGUCAUCGUCAUAUGCCUUUUUUGUGUUAAUUUCUGAGGAUCCUGCCAGUGUGAAUACUCCAUUCUCUGCGAGUCGCAGGUCAGGCUGCUUUUGAGGCAAGCACACGUUAAGUAUUGAGCAGAAACAUUUGAAGCAAAGAUGAGAAAGACAGAAGGGGAAGCAAGAAAAAUAGUCUUCCCAGUGUGCCUAUUUGGGUGCAUAUAAAGUUACUUUUAGAUGUGCGAUUACUGGUUAAUGAUUUGGGGAAUUCUUUUCAAGUAGAAAUCCUGGGCUAAAAACUAAGUGUGCUCAAGCUACCCCCGCACCCACUGAUUCUGCACUCCAUGGGAAAAGUUCUCACAAGCAAGUCCUUUGUCCACUACCCACGUCUAUAGGAAAUGUUUGAACAGCUAUACACAAAGAACUCACAAGUCCACAACCUCGGGGGUGUUGCGGGUGGAGAGGGCAGUGGUAAAGGUGAUGACAGGGAGGGCCUGUGGGGACAGUAAUAUUAGAUUAGUGGUCAGAAGAUGCUGGAGCCUGCCUUGCCAGUCACACACUUUUAGAGGAAUGCUGGACAGUACACACCCUCCCCAACCCUGAAUGUAGGCCCUCGCUGACAUCACGCCAGAUGAAGCCCUGAGGUCUUUAACAUCUGUAACUCUAUGGCAUGUAACAUAAACAGGUGUCUGACCAGUUUCCCCAGAUAUAGAAUAAUAAUAAUACCUUUCAUUUAAAAAGGUAAGAGGGAAUUCAACAAGCUUUCCUUCUUAAAUAAAUCUCCAUCUCAGGAAGCCAUGGAAAGAUGCCCCUCCCACACUAAGACUGUAGAGAGAGGCACUGUGAAGGUCUGGCUUGGAGAUCUCAGCUCUUCCUGCCUCUCAGGGGGAAAGGGCAGAUCCAGCAGGCCGGGAAAGGAUCUCCCAGGGUCCCAAGGAGGCAGCAUGGGGCAAAGUCCAACAGUGAGGAUUCUCUCCUUCUCUGGUCUCUUUUCUGUUAAAAAUGCUUCUUUGGGGUACCCUUCAUUACUACCCUGGAGGUUGAAGGACACUUCUUGAGAAGGCAUAGAUACUCUUCAGGUAUGCUGAAGAAAUGAGUUGUGCUAAAACCACUGGUUAAUUUUGUCUGUGGCAAAAAAUCAUGAGGGUGACAUAGACUCCCAGGCCAGGAACCCGAGACUGGAUUUAAGAGAUGUGGCCAGGAUCCACAGGGGAGCUUGUAUGUGGCUCACAUCAUUAGCUCUUUCUGUAUAUUUGUAUUGUAAACCAUUUCCCUUCAUUUGUGAAGAUGGAGAUCACUUUUUCUAUACAGGCUAGAAAUGUUUCUUCAUACACACACGCUGAGCUUGUUUAUAAAAGAUAUUCAUUUAUAUGGUGGUUUUAACAACUUUUCCAUGUGGAAAUUUUAGACGACAGUAACACAGACCCUCAUGUACUCAUCACUCAGCCUUGAUGGUUACUGACACAUGCCCAAUAUUGUUUCAUCUGUUUCUCCCCACAACUCCUGGAUUAAUUUGAAAGAAAUCCUAGAAGUCACUUAAUCAGCAAAUACUCCAGUCUGUUGGUCCACUCCUUAUACAAUAGCCAGGGUGAUCUUUUACACAUGAAGUAGUGAUUGCAUCACUCAUGCUUGCUUGGAAUUCUUCAAAGACUUACGUUGGCACUUCAGAUAAAGUGUAGACUCCUUCGCGUGACCUAGGAUGUCCUUUGGGCUCUCACUGUUCCCUCAGCCUCCUCACCUGAAGCUCUCACUGCCCCACCCCUUUGCUCAUCACACUCCAACCCGCCUGCCAUUGAGCUACUCAAAUGGACUGCUCCUUUCUCAAGACCUCUGCACACUUUCAAGCCUCAUUUCUCUUCAGCCUUUAUUAAAUGUCAUCUCCUCCAGAUGGCCUCCUUUGGUGGCCCAGGUCAUGUUAGAUCUGCCUGUU
rnacentral:lncRNA from 1 species